UGCAGAGUGUAGCAUAGCAAUUAAGCAAGCAACUGACGAUACAAAUCAUAGCAGUCCAGUUCUUUGGACUGCAGUUGUUAUACAUCUCUGCUCAUUAUAAGAAGAAUACAGUGAAGAAAGCCAGUUACGGACUUUUUCAAGUUUCUUCAUGGCUAUUAUUCCAAGCCUCGGUUUUCUUCUGAUUUCCUGGCUGCAAUCAUCUGGUUAACUGAUGAUUAAACAAAGUUUCUCCACAGUCUGUCUCUCCCAGUACCAGCGACGAAGGAAGUAAAGCCCCAACAGGGCAGCCAAGUAGAGC